rnacentral:rRNA from 1 species
GUAGGGACCAAGCGUUGUUCGGAUUUACUGGGCGUAAAGGGCGCGUAGGCGGCGCGGUAAGUCACUUGUGAAAUCUCUGAGCUUAACUCAGAACGGCCAAGUGAUACUGCAGUGCUAGAGUGUGGAAGGGGCAAUCGGAAUUCUUGGUGUAGCGGUGAAAUGCGUAGAUAUCAAGAGGAACACCUGAGGUGAAGAUGGGUUGCUGGGCCAACACUGACGCUGAGGCGCGAAAGCCAGGGGAGCAAACGGGAUUAGAUACCCCGGUAGUCCUGGCCCUAAACGAUGAAUACUUGGUGUCUGGAGUUUUAAUGCUCCGGGUGCCGUCGCUAACGUUUUUAGUAUUCCGCCUGGGGAGUACGCUCGCAAGAGUG